rnacentral:rRNA from 1 species
GAUGAACGCUAGCUACAGGCUUAACACAUGCAAGUCGAGGGGCAGCAUGGAGUUUGCUUGCAAACUCUGAUGGCGACCGGCGCACGGGUGAGUAACGCGUAUCCAACCUUCCCCUUAGUAGGGCAUAGCCCGGUGAAAAUCGGAUUAAUACCCUAUGUUCUUCACAGCAGGCAUCUAACGUGAAGCAAAGGUUUACCGCUAUGGGAUGGGGAUGCGUCUGAUUAGGUAGUCGGCGGGGUAACGGCCCACCGAGCCAUCGAUCAGUAGGGGUUCUGAGAGGAAGGUCCCCCACAUUGGAACUGAGACACGGUCCAAACUCC